rnacentral:rRNA from 1 species
UACGUAGGGUGCAAGCGUUGUCCGGAAUUAUUGGGCGUAAAGAGCUCGUAGGCGGUUUGUUGCGUCGGCUGUGAAAUCCCGAGGCUCAACCUCGGGUCUGCAGUCGAUACGAGCAAACUAGAGUGUUGCAGGGGAGACUGGAAUUCCUGGUGUAGCGGUGAAAUGCGCAGAUAUCAGGAAGAACACCGGUGGCGAAGGCGGCUCUCUGGGCCUUACCUGACGCUGAGGAGCGAAAGCGUGGGUAGCGAACAGG